ACGGGAGGCAGCAGUGGGGAAUAUUGCACAAUGGGGGACACCCUGAUGCAGCAACGCCGCGUGAGUGAAGAAGUAUUUCGGUAUGUAAAGCUCUAUCAGCAGGGAAGAUGAUGACGGUACCUGACUAAGAAGCCCCGGCUAACUACGUGCCAGCAGCCGCGGUAAUACGUAGGGGGCAAGCGUUAUCCGGAUUUACUGGGUGUAAAGGGAGCGUAGGCGGUCAGACAAGUCAGAUGUGAAAGCCCGGGGCUCAACUCCGGGACUGCAUUUGAAACUGUAGGACUAGAGUACUGGAGAGGCAAGCGGAAUUCCUAGUGUAGCGGUGAAAUGCGUAGAUAUUAGGAAGAACACCGGUGGCGAAGGCGGCUUGCUGGACAGAGACUGACGCUGAGGCUCGAAAGCGUGGGGAGCAAACAGGAUUAGAUACCCUGGUA
rnacentral:rRNA from 1 species